UACAGAGGGGGCAAGCGUUGUUCGGAAUUACUGGGUGUAAAGGGCGCGUAGGCGGCCCGCUAAGUCGAACGUGAAAUCCCCGGGCUCAACCCGGGAACUGCGUCCGAUACUGGUGGGCUUGAAUCCGGGAGAGGGAUGCGGAAUUCCAGGUGUAGCGGUGAAAUGCGUAGAUAUCUGGAGGAACACCGAUGGCGAAGGCAGCUCGCUGGAACGUUACUGACGCUGAGACGCGAAAGCGUGGGGAGCAAACAGG
rnacentral:rRNA from 1 species